rnacentral:rRNA from 1 species
AGAGUUUGAUCCUGGCUCAGAACGAACGCUGGCGGCAGGCUUAACACAUGCAAGUCGAACGCCCCGCAAGGGGAGUGGCAGACGGGUGAGUAACGCGUGGGAAUCUACCCAUCUCUACGGAAUAACUCAGGGAAACUUGUGCUAAUACCGUAUACGCCCUUCGGGGGAAAGAUUUAUCGGAGAUGGAUGAGCCCGCGUUGGAUUAGCUAGUUGGUGGGGUAAAGGCCUACCAAGGCGACGAUCCAUAGCUGGUCUGAGAGGAUGAUCAGCCACAUUGGGACUGAGACACGGCCCAAACUCCUACGGGAGGCAGCAGUGGGGAAUAUUGGACAAUGGGCGCAAGCCUGAUCCAGCCAUGCCGCGUGAGUGAUGAAGGCCCUAGGGUUGUAAAGCUCUUUCACCGGUGAAGAUAAUGACGGUAACCGGAGAAGAAGCCCCGGCUAACUUCGUGCCAGCCGCCGCGGUAAUAC